AUAUGACCUCCCACUGCAUGGUGCGGGGUGGAAAGAUUUAUCGGUGGGGGAUGGACUCCCGGCCUAUAAUCUUGUUGGUGAGGUAUUGGCUCACCACGGCGACAACAGGUAGCCGGCCUGUGAGGGUGACCGGCCACACUGGGACUGUGACACGGCCCAGACUCCUACAGGAGGCACCACUGGGGAAUAUUGUGCACUGUGCGCAAGCCUGAUACCCCGACACGCCGUGAGGGAUGACAGCCUUCUGGUUGUGUACCUCUUUUUCUAUGGAAAAGACAAAAGUGAGGGUACCUGCAAAAAAGGCGGCCGCUAACUACGUGCCAGCAGCCGCGGUAAUACGUGGGGCGCACGCGGUAUCCGGAUUUGUUGGGGCGUAUAAUCUCAAAUGCGGUUUGUCACGUCUGCCGAG
rnacentral:rRNA from 1 species